rnacentral:lncRNA from 1 species
GGGGUCAAGAAUAUCUCAUUCUGCAUAGGGUGGGGGAACCAAGAGGGUGAGAGCUUUUACAAGCUGAGGAUGAAGUUCCUCAGACAUUUCUGUCUUCUGUGCAAAUCCUGUCCUCCGUAAGCACUUCUGCCCCUCUGAGUGGCCACAUCCUGCUUCACAAUUUCGGAAGGCACCAGCAAGACCGGAGCAGAGCACAUUAAUGCUUUCUCAGCUCAGCCCCCUUUUCCAUAGGGUAGGCAGGAGCACUAGAGAAGAGGAAACUUCUUAUGUUUAAACCCAAACAAGCUCAGCUUGAAGAAAACAUUGGCUUUCAAUGCAGCUAUGAAUUAAGAAAAUACAAAAGAAAUUUGGAUGCUUUUUAAGAAGGGAAGGCCUGAGAGAAAGAAAGACUCACAAAGAGCAGGAAAAUCUUGAUUCUGGCCAUCACCGUCCAGAGAGGUGACAGCCCCAAACACUCGGGGGCUGCUCGUGGGAGGGUGCCUGGUCCGUCCCCAGCUCUGCCACCUCCCGCCGGCAGCUGAGUUAAAGCUUCUGCGAAGACAAAAACAAAUACAGGAUUCUCACACUGUGUAUGCAAUUUCCCAUCCCCUGGCUGGACCCUGGGGGCAGGACACCACCUGGAAACCAUCUCAGGUUGCAGAGGUUCCGCGGAGGACCCUUGGAUCUGAGCCUGAGAGGCACAGGUUGC